rnacentral:rRNA from 1 species
GAGAAGGAGCCUGAGAAACGGCUACUACAUCCAAGGAAGGCAGCAGGCGCGCAAAUUACCCAAUCCCGACUCGGGGAGGUAGUGACAAUAAAUACUGAUACAGGGCUCUUUUGGGUCUUGUAAUUGGAAUGAGUACAAUUUAAAUCCCUUAACGAGGAACAAUUGGAGGGCAAGUCUGGUGCCAGCAGCCGCGGUAAUUCCAGCUCCAAUAGCGUAUAUUAAAGUUGUUGUGGUUAAAAAGCUCGUAGUUGAACCUUGGGCCUGGCUGGCCGGUCCGCCUCACCGCGUGUACUGGUCCGGCCGGGCCUUUCCCUCUGUGGAACCCCAUGCCCUUCACUGGGUGUGGCGGGGAAACAGGACUUUUACUGUGAAAAAAUUAGAGUGCUCCAGGCAGGCCUAUGCUCGAAUACAUUAGCAUGGAAUAAUAGAAUAGGACGUGUGGUUCUAUUUUGUUGGUUUCUAGGACCGCCGUAAUGAUUAAUAGGGACAGUCGGGGGCAUCAGUAUUCAAUUGUCAGAGGUGAAAUUCUUGGAUUUAUUGAAGACUAACUACUGCGAAAGCAUUUGCCAAGGAUGUUUUCAUUAAUCAGGAACGAAAGUUAGGGGAUCGAAGACGAUCAGAUACCGUCGUAGUCUUAACCAUAAACUAUGCCGACUAGGGAUCGGACGGUGUUAUAUUUUGACC